rnacentral:rRNA from 1 species
UACGAAGGGGGCUAGCGUUGUUCGGAAUUACUGGGCGUAAAGCGCGCGCAGGGGGUCUUUCAAGUCAGUGGUGAAAGCCCGGAGCUCAACUCCGGAAAUGCCAUUGAAACUGUAAGACUUGAGGAUGAGAGAGGUGAGUGGAAUUCCCAGUGUAGAGGUGAAAUUCGUAGAUAUUGGGAAGAACACCGGUGGCGAAGACGGCUCACUGGCUCAUAUCUGACGCUCAGGCGCGACAGCGUGGGGAUCAAACAGG